UGACGACGGAGAUGAGUGA
rnacentral:snRNA from 1 species